rnacentral:rRNA from 1 species
GACGAACGCUGGCGGCGUGCUUAACACAUGCAAGUCGAACGAUGAACUUGGAGCUUGCUCUGGGGGAUUAGUGGCGAACGGGUGAGUAACACGUGAGUAACCUGCCCUGGACUCUGGGAUAACUUCGAGGAAUCGGAGCUAAUACCGGAUAGGACCUUGCACCGCAUGGUGUGGGGUGGAAAGUUUUUCGGUUUGGGAUGGACUCGCGGCCUAUCAGCUUGUUGGUGAGGUAAUGGCUCACCAAGGCGUCGACGGGUAGCCGGCCUGAGAGGGUGACCGGCCACACGGGGACUGAGACACGGACCAGACUCCUACGGGAGGCAGCAGUGGGGAAUAUUGCACAAUGGGCGCAAGCCUGAUGCAGCAACGCCGCGUGCGGGAUGACGGCCUUCGGGUUGUAAACCGCUUUUAGUAGGGAAGAAGCCUUCGGGUGACGGUACCUGCAGAAAAAGGACCGGCUAACUACGUGCCAGCAGCCGCAGUAAAAC